rnacentral:rRNA from 1 species
AGGGUUUGAUUAUGGCUCAGAUUGAACGCUGGCGGUAGGCUUAACACAUGCAAGUCGUGCGAGAAAGUAUCUUCGGAUAUGAGUAGAGCGGCGGACGGGUGAGUAACGCGUAGGAAUCUACCUAGUAGAAGGGGAUAGCCCGGGGAAACUCGGAUUAAUACCGUAUACCUCCUUCGGGAGAAAGAAGGCCUCUCUUUGAAGCUUUCGCUAUUAGAUGAGCCUGCGUAAGAUUAGCUUGUUGGUGAGGUAAAGGCUCACCAAGGCGACGAUCUUUAGCGGGUCUGAGAGGACGAUCCGCCACAUUGGGACUGAGACACGGCCCAGACUCCUACGGGAGGCAGCAGUGGGGAAUAUUGGACAAUGGGCGCAAGCCUGAUCCAGCCAUACCACGUGUGUGAAGAAGGCCCUAGGGUUGUAAAGCACUUUAAGUUGGGAAGAAAAGUUAUUGGCUAAUAUCCAAUAACCGUGACAUUACCAACAGAAUAAGGACCGGCUAAUUCCGUGCCAGCAGCCGCGGUAAUACGGAAGGUCCAAGCGUUAAUCGGAAUUACUGGGCGUAAAGCGCGCGUAGGUGGUUUAUUAAGUUGGAUGUGAAAUCCCCGGGCUCGACCUGGGAACUGCAUCCAAAACUGAUUCACUAGAGUACGAUAGASGGAGGUAGAAUUCACAGUGUAGCGGUGGAAUGCGUAGAUAUUGUGAAGAAUACCAAAGGCGGGGGCAGCCUCCUGGAUCUGUACUGACACUGAGGUGCGAAAGCGUGGGUAGCGAACAGGAUUAGAUACCCUGGUAGUCCACGCCGUAAACGAUGUCAACUAGCUGUUGGAGAACUAUGUUCUUCAGUGGCGCAGCUAACGUAGUAAGUUGACCGCCUGGGGAGUACGGCCGCAAGGCUAGAACUCAAAUGAAUUGACGGGGACCCGCACAAGCGGUGGAGCAUGUGGUUUAAUUCGAUGCAACGCGAAAAACCUUACCUAUACUUGACAUACUUGGAAUGCUUUGUAAUGAAGCAGUGCCUUCGGGAGCUAAGAUACAGGUGCUGCAUGGCUGUCGUCAGCUCGUGUCGUGAGAUGUUCCGUCAAGUCGGAUAACGAGCGCAACCCUUACCCUUAUUUGCCAGCGAUUCGGUCGGGAACUAUAAGGGGACUGCCGGUGAUAAGCCGGAGGAAGGUGAGGACGACGUCAAGUCAUCAUGGCCCUUACGUAUAGGGCUACACACGUGCUACAAUGGAGAAUACAGACGGACGCUAAGCCGCGAGGUGGUGCUAAUCCUAGAAAAUUCUUCGUAGUCCGGAUUGGAGUCUGCAACUCGACUCCAUGAAGUCGGAAUCGCUAGUAAUCGCGAAUCAGCAUGUCGCGGUGAAUACGUUCUCGGGUCUUGUACACACCGCCCGUCAUACCAUGGAAGUGGAUUGCACCAGAAGUAGAUAGUCUAACCUUCGGGAGGGCGUUUACCACGGUGUGCUUCAUGACUGGGGUAAAGUCGUAACAAGGUAGCCA